AAAGAUUAAGCCAUGCAUGUCUAUGCACACGCCCUUGAAUGGUGAAGCCGCGAAAAGCUCAUUACAACAGCCAUAGUCUAUUGGAUCUUUACGUUCCUACAAGGACAUCUGCGGUAAUUCUGGAGCUAAUACCUGCGAAAAACGACGACCUUACGGAAGUCGUGCAUUUGUUAGACUAAACCAAUCGGUCCCUCGGGACCGCCAUUUGGUGAACUCUGAAUAACUUAGCUGAUCGCACAGUCUCGUACUGGCGACGAAUCUUUCGAGUGUCUGCCUUAUCAACUUUCGAUGGUAGUUUACACGACUACCAUGGUUGUAACGGGUAACGGAGAAUAAGGGUUCGACUCCGGAGAGGGAGCCUGAGAAACGGCUACCACAUCCAAGGAAGGCAGCAGGCGCGCAAAUUACCCACUCUCAGAACGAGGAGGUAGUGACGAAAAAUAACGAGGUGGCUCUCUACGAGGUCCAUCAUCGGAAUGGGUACAAUUUAAAUCCUUUAACGAGGAUCUAUUGGAGGGCAAGUCUGGUGCCAGCAGCCGCGGUAAUUCUAGCUCCAAUAGCGUAUACUAAAGUUGUUGCGGUUAAAAAGCUCGUAGUUGGAUCUGCGCCCGGUGAAAGUGGUCGCCCGAUGGGUUGUUACUGCUUCUCCCGGGCUAACCAUUCGGUUUUCCCUUGAUGCUCUUCAUUGAGUGUCCUGGGUGACCGGAACGUUUACUUUGAAAAAAUUAGAGUGCUCAAAGCAGGCAAUUCGCCCGAAUAUUCGUGCGUGGAAUAAUAGAAGAGGUCCUGGUAGCCUUUUAUUGGUUAUCGCUAUGAGGAAAUGAUCGACGGGGACAGACGGGGGCAUUUGUAUUGCGACGUUAGAGGUGAAAUUCUUGGAUCGUCGCAAGACAAACUACUGCGAAAGCAUUUGCCAAGAAUGUUUUCAUCAAUCAAGAACGAAAGUCUGAGGUUCGACAGCGAUCAGAUACCGCUUUAGUUCAGACCGUAAACGAUGCCAUCUGGCGAUCCACCGGCGUUAUGUAUGACUCGGUGGGCAGCCACCGGUAAACCUUUAAGUCAGGUUCCGGGGGAAGUAUGGUUGCAAAGCUGAAACUUAAAGGAAUUGACGGAAGGGCACCACCAGGAGUGGAGCCUGCGGCUUAAUUUGACU
rnacentral:rRNA from 1 species